rnacentral:rRNA from 1 species
UACGGAGGGGGCAAGCGUUGUCCGGAUUUAUUGGGCGUAAAGCGCGUGUAGGCGGCCAGAUAGGUCUGCUGUGAAAACUCGAGGCUCAACCUCGAGCUGUCGGCGGAAACCAUCUGGCUAGAGUUCGGAAGAGGUGAGUGGAAUUCCGAGUGUAGAGGUGAAAUUCGUAGAUAUUCGGAGGAACCCCAGUGGCGGAGGCGGCUCAGUGGUCCAUUACUGACGCUGAGGUGCGAAAGCGUGGGGAGCAAACAGG